rnacentral:tRNA from 1 species
UACCUGAGUAGCUUAUCUAGAGCAUGACACUGAAGAUGUUAGGGAGAUUUAUUAAUCCUCGGGUAU